AUACGGAGGAUCCGAGCGUUAUCCGGAUUUAUUGGGUUUAAAGGGUGCGCAGGCGGCCAUUUAAGUCAGCGGUUAAAUCGUGGGGCUCAACCCCAUUCUGCCGUUGAUACUGGGUGGCUUGAUUGCGGUCGAGGUUGGCGGAAUUCGUUGUGUAGCGGUGAAAUGCAUAGAUAUGACGAAGAACACCGAUUGCGUAGGCAGCUGACCAGACCGCAAAUGACGCUCAUGCACGAAAGUGCGGGGAUCGAACAGGAUUAGAUACCCUGGUAGUCCGCACAGUAAACGAUGAAUACUCGCUGUUUGCGAUACACUGUAAGCGGCCAAGCGAAAGCGUUAAGUAUUCCACCUGGGGAGUACGCCGGCAACGGUGAAACUCAAAGGAAUUGGCGGGG
rnacentral:rRNA from 1 species